CGAACCGACUUACGUUGAAAAGUGAGCGGAUGAACUGAGGGUAGCGGAGAAAUUCCAAUCGAACCUGGAGAUAGCUGGUUCUCUCCGAAAUAGCUUUAGGGCUAGCCUCAAGUGAUGAUUAUUGGAGGUAGAGCACUGUUUGGACGAGGGGCCCCUCUCGGGUUACCGAAUUCAGACAAACUCCGAAUGCCAAUUAAUUUAACUUGGGAGUCAGAACAUGGGUGAUAAGGUCCGUGUUCGAAAGGGAAACAGCCCAGACCACCAGCUAAGGUCCCAAAAUAUAUGUUAAGUGGAAAAGGAUGUGGCGUUGCCCAGACAACUAGGAUGUUGGCUUAGAAGCAGCCAUCAUUUAAAGAGUGCGUAAUAGCUCACUAGUCGAGUGACACUGCGCCGAAAAUGUACCGGGGCUAAACAUAUUACCGAAGCUGUGGAUUGUCCUUUGGACAAUGGUAGGAGAGCGUUCUAAGGGCGUUGAAGCAUGAUCGUAAGGACAUGUGGAGCGCUUAGAAGUGAGAAUGCCGGUGUGAGUAGCGAAAGACGGGUGAGAAUCCCGUCCACCGAUUGACUAAGGUUUCCAGAGGAAGGCUCGUCCGCUCUGGGUUAGUCGGGUCCUAAGCUGAGGCCGACAGGCGUAGGCGAUGGAUAACAGGUUGAUAUUCCUGUACCACCUAUAAUCGUUUUAAUCGAUGGGGGGACGCAGUAGGAUAGGCGAAGCGUGCGAUUGGAUUGCACGUCUAAGCAGUAAGGCUGAGUAUUAGGCAAAUCCGGUACUCGUUAAGGCUGA
rnacentral:rRNA from 1 species